rnacentral:rRNA from 1 species
UACGUAGGGGGCAAGCGUUGUCCGGAAUCAUUGGGCGUAAAGCGCGUGUAGGCGGCCCGGUAAGUCCGCUGUGAAAGUCGGGGGCUCAACCCUCGAAAGCCGGUGGAUACUGUCGGGCUCGAGUACGGGAGAGGCGAGUGGAAUUCCUGGUGUAGCGGUGAAAUGCGCAGAUAUCAGGAGGAACACCGAUUGCGAAGGCAGCUCGCGGGAACGUUACUGACGCUGAGACGCGAAAGCGUGGGGAGCAAACAGG